rnacentral:rRNA from 1 species
GGUCCUUGAGUAGGGCGGGACACGUGAAAUCCUGUCUGAACAUGGGGGGACCACCCUCCAAGCCUAAGUACUCCUUGGCAACCGAUAGUGANACAAGUACCGUGAGGGAAAGGUGAAAAGCACCCCGAUGAGGGGAGUGAAAUAGACCUGAAACCGAAUGCCUACAAGCAGUCGGAGGGAGCAUGUCUCCUGACGGCGUACCUUUUNGUAUAAUGGGUCAGCGAGUUAGUCUGUCGAGCAAGCUUAAGCCGUUAGGUGUAGGCGCAGCGAAAGCGAGUCUUAAUAGGGCGUUCAGUUCGGUGGAUUAGACCCGAAACCUGGUGAUCUAGCCAUGGGCAGGUUGAAGGUGCGGUAACACGCACUGGAGGACCGAACCNCACCAAUGUUGAAAAAUUGGGGGAUGACCNUGUGGCUAGGGGUGAAAGGCCNAAUCAAANCCAGGAUAUAGCUNGGUUCUCCGCGAAAACUAUUUCGGUAGUGCGUCGUGUGAUUACCGCCGGGGGUAGAGCACUGGAUGGGCUANGGGGGGCGCGAGCCUUACCAAACCUAACCAAACUCCGAAUACCGGUGAGUACAGCGCGGCAGACAGACCAUGGGUGCUAAGGUCCGUGGUCGAGAGGGAAACAGCCCAGACCUCCAGCUAAGGUCCCGAAGUUGUGGCUAAGUGGGAAAGGAUGUGGGAAGGCCAAGACAGCCAGGAGGUUGGCUUANGAAGCAGCCAUCCUUUAAAGAAAGCGUAAUAGCUCACUGGUCUAAAUAAGCCGGCCUGCGCCGAAGAUGUACCGGGGCUCAAGCCACACACCGAAGCUGAGGGCGUGUUUUAGGACACGCGGUAGCGGAGCGUUCCGUAGGCCUGCGAAGGGGUCCUGUGAGGGGCUCUGGAGGUAUCGGAAGUGCGAAUGCUGACAUGAGUAGCGACAAAGAGUGUGAGAAACACUCUCGCCGAAAGCCCAAGGGUUCCUCAGCAAGGUUAAUCCGCUGAGGGUGAGCCGGCCCCUAAGACGAGGGCGAAAGCCGUAGUCGAUGGAGAUCAGGUUAAUAUUCCUGAGCCUGGCGGUGGUGACGAAUGCCGAAAGUCGUGUGUGCUUAACGGAUUGUGCAUGCGGCCUGGGUGUUCCAGGAAAUAGCCCCGCCGAUAAGACCGUACCCCAAACCGACACAGGUGGGCAGGUAGAGCAUACCAAGGCGCUUGAGAGAACGACGUUGAAGGAACUCGGCAAAAUGCCCCCGUAACUUCGGGAGAAGGGGGACCUCCAUUUGGGCAACCAGAUGGAGGUGGCACAGAGUAGGGGGNUGGCGACUGUUUACUAAAAACACAGGGCUCUGCGAAG